UCUCCGUAGGUGAACCUGCGGAGGGAUCAUUACAAGUGACCCCGGUCUUACCACCGGGAUGUUCAUAACCCUUUGUUGUCCGACUCUGUUGCCUCCGGGGCGACCCUGCCUUCGGGCGGGGGCUCCGGGUGGACACUUCAAACUCUUGCGUAACUUUGCAGUCUGAGUAAACUUAAUUAAUAAGUUAAAACUUUUAACAACGGAUCUCUUGGUUCUGGCAUCGAUGAAGAACCAGC
rnacentral:misc_RNA from 1 species